UAUCAGACUUGUUGCAAGAUUGUUCCAACAAGUCCGAUACAGUCAUGAUAUAACAAUAUUGAUACAACAUUGUGUCGUCAAUCUUUUGUAACAUUCUUGUUAUAUCAUGACUGUAUCAGACUUGUUAGAACAAACUUGUAGCAAGUCUGAUA